ACAGUAUUCUCUGUAGCCUUAUCAAUUUUCACUGUGUAAAAUUGAGGACCAGUAGAAUGCUGUAG
rnacentral:pre_miRNA from 1 species